rnacentral:rRNA from 1 species
CCCCGAGGAAGAGAAAUCAACCGAGAUUCCGAAAGUAGCGGCGAGCGAAAUUGGAUUAGCCCUUAAGCUUUUAAUGAUGCAGGUGAAGAGUCUGGAAAGUCUCGCAAUAAAGGGUGAUAGCCCCGUAACCGACACAUCAUAAUCAGUGAAAACGAGUAGGGCGGGACACGUGAUAUCCUGUCUGAAUAUGGGGGGACCAUCCUCCAAGGCUAA